rnacentral:rRNA from 1 species
CUUUGAAGAGAGAGUUCAAGAGGGCGUGAAACCGUUUAGAAGUAAAGGGGUAAAGCUGCGGGGUAGUUGCAAAAAUCAGCCGGGUUGAUGGUCAUUGUCUGGUAGUCCGACGUUAAAGCGGACGGCUGGGCGCGUUGUGGCCAUAGUCUGGUGCACUUUUUGCGACGAGCAUCGCGACUAAAGCGAAACCUGGUGGAAGGUGGAUUUUGAAGACAGAGCCGAGCGUUCUGUGACUAAAGUCUACUGGAUACCGGUGUGACGUUUUGGGUACCCUAGUAGUCGCCGAAAGGCUCGUGAAAAUUUGAUGUUGGGUUGUUUGAAAUGUCCCUUCUUGCUUGCAGGAUCGGGCGACCCACGAUUUAACGUCAGGCUGGAUCGAGAGACUACGAAGGAUCCGCGGUGUCCGAGGUAGCCGCUUACCCCACCCGUCUUGAAACACGGACCAAGGAGUCUAACAUGUGCGCGAGUUAUUGGGUGGUAAACCCAAAGGCGAAAUAAAAGUAAAGACUGCUUACGCAGUAUUAAAUACGAUCCUUGAAUUUUAUUCGAGGCGGAGUAUUGUCCCAUCUAUGCGGUACGUCCGCUGGGUGGAGAAAGAGCGUAAAUGUUGGGACCCGAAAGAUGGUGAACUAUGCUCGAGCAGAACGAAGCCAGAGGAAACUCUGGUGGAGGUUCGUAGCGGUUCUGACGUGCAAAUCGAUCGUCAGACUUGGGUAUAGGGGCGAAA